rnacentral:misc_RNA from 1 species
UCCGGCUUAACGCCGGCAGUCUCCCUAGAGUGCCCAACUGAAUGGUGGCAACUAAGGACGAGGGUUGCGCUCGUUGCGGGACUUAACCCAACACCUCACGGCACGAGCUGGCGACAGCCAUGCAGCACCUGUGCAGGGACUCCGAAGAGGGGACUCGGUUUCUCGAGCCUUUCCCCUGCAUGUCAAGCCCAGGUAAGGUUCUUCGCGUCGCAUCGAAUUAAGCAACAUGCUCCGCCGCUUGUGCGGGCCCCCGUCAAUUCCUUUGAGUUUUAGCCUUGCGGCCGUACUCCCCAGGCGGGGUGCUUAAUGCGUUAGCUUCGGCACGGAACGGGUUGAAGGCCGCCCCACACCUAGCACCCAACGUUUACGGCUGGGACUAC